AAGGUUUAUUGAUCUUCAGCAUUUGGGGUCAGCGGAUUUCAGCCCCCACUGCACUGAUCUUUCAGAAGGUUGUUGUGGGCCUCUGAACAUGGAGAGGCCUCCAGCAGCCAAACUCAGAGAGGAGAAUUUUGGAGGCUUUGUAAGUAGCCAAGCCAGUGAAACUGUAAACUGUUUGCGGCUUUGCUGCCUUUACAGCCUGGCCCUUACAGACCUGGAGCCGCAGCCGGGCACCUCGCUGAGCUGCGUGCGUGAAGCUGUUUGUCGGGUCAUUCGGCCACUGCAGUUGCUGUUUUGAGUAUCCCUUGCUUGGUGUUGUGCUGGGGUGUUCUGGCAUCUCCGGCAUCAUCUCCCGUUGUGUCUACUGUUGUCCUUGUGAGUUGGAAGCUGGCCUAGAGGCUGGUUCCAAGUUAGCAGAGGCAGGAAGAUGUCAUCUUGGACGCUUGGCCUAGUGUUCAGGAGAGGAGUUCUGCAUCCUCAUUGGCAGGAAGAUGCCAUCUCAGCUGCUUUUGUGUUGGACUAGAAAACACCAGAUACUUCUUCAAGUGAGAAUCUAUCAAAGGGGUUGUGCUUCAUGGCUGUCCAGUGACACUGUUUCAAGAAAAAUUGCUGAUUGAAAAUAAGGUGCCCACCGACUUCUGGGCGUCAUUGCUCAGUCAGAAGCGCAGGAGGGUGAGAGAAUUCACCAGAGCCAGAGCGGGGAGCAGAGCAGGUAGAAGGACCGAAGUACACUGCUGA